rnacentral:rRNA from 1 species
UACGGAGGGUGCAAGCGUUAUCCGGAUUCACUGGGUUUAAAGGGUGCGUAGGUGGGUCUGUAAGUCAGUGGUGAAAUCUCCAAGCUUAACUUGGAAACUGCCGUUGAUACUAUAGACCUUGAAUGCUGUGGAGGUGAGCGGAAUAUGUCAUGUAGCGGUGAAAUGCUUAGAUAUGACAUAGAACACCAAUUGCGAAGGCAGCUCACUACCCAGAUAUUGACACUGAUGCGCGAAAGCGUGGGGAGCAAACGGG